rnacentral:rRNA from 1 species
UCGAACGGGAUCCUGCGGGCUUUGCCUGCGGGUGAGAGUGGCGAACGGGUGAGUAAUGCGUGACCAACCUGCCCCAUGCUCCGGAAUAGCUCCUGGAAACGGGUGGUAAUGCCGGAUGUUCCCGCGCCCCGCAUGGGGUGCGGGGAAAGCUUUUGCGGCGUGGGAUGGGGUCGCGUCCUAUCAGCUUGUUGGCGGGGUGAGGGCCCACCAAGGCUUCGACGGGUAGCCGGCCUGAGAGGGCGACCGGCCACAUUGGGACUGAGAUACGGCCCAGACUCCUACGGGAGGCAGCAGUGGGGAAUAUUGCACAAUGGGCGCAAGCCUGAUGCAGCGACGCCGCGUGCGGGAUGGAGGCCUUCGGGUUGUAAACCGCUUUUGUUUGGGAGCAAGCCCUUCGGGGUGAGUGUACCUUUCGAAUAAGCACCGGCUAACUACGUGCCAGCAGCCGCGGUAAUACGUAGGGUGCGAGCGUUAUCCGGAUUUAUUGGGCGUAAAGGGCUCGUAGGCGGUUCGUCGCGUCCGGUGUGAAAGUCCAUCGCCUAACGGUGGAUCUGCGCCGGGUACGGGCGGGCUGGAGUGCGGUAGGGGAGACUGGAAUUCCCGGUGUAACGGUGGAAUGUGUAGAUAUCGGGAAGAACACCAAUGGCGAAGGCAGGUCUC